GGAGAGGACAGCAAGGGGCACAGAGAUAGAAAGAGAUGGAGGAGAAGACAGCAAGGGGCCAAAGACAUAGAAAGAGAUGGAGGAGAGGACAGCAAGGGGCCACAGAAAUAGAUAGCGGAGAGGACAGCAAGGGGCCACAGAGAUAGAAAGAGAUGGAGGAGGGGACAGCAAGGGGCCACAUAGAUAGAAAUAGAUGGAGGAGAGGACAGCAAGGGGCCACAGAGAUAGAAAGAGAUGGAGGAGGGGACAGCAAGGGGCCACAUAGAUAGAAAGAGAUGGAGGAGGGGACAGCAAGGGGCCACAGAGAUAGAAAGAGAUGGAGGAGAGGACAGCAAGGGGCCACAUAGAUAGAAAGAGAUGGAGGAGGGGACAGCAAGGGGCCACAGAGAUAGAAAGAUGGAGGAGGGGACAGCAAGGGGCCACAUAGAUAGAAAGAGAUGGAGGAGGGGACAGCAAGGGGCCACAGAGAUAGAAAGAGAUGGAGGAGGGGACAGCAAGGGGCCACAGAGAUAGAAAGAGAUGGAGGAGGGGACAGCAAGGGGCCACAGAGAUGGAAAGAGAUGGAGGAGGGGACAGCAAGGGGCCACAGAGAUGGAAAGAGAUGGAGGAGGGGACAGCAAGGGGCCACAUAGAUAGAGAGUAUUCACAUCGAUCCACUGUUGUGUAUCAUUUACACUGAUGCAAAUGGUCUCUACAGUAGGCAUGUAAGACGCUACUAGGGCAUUUUAAAUGAUUUAAAUGUUUGAGUACUCACAUUAAAUUAUUAUCAAGUACUCGCAAAAAAAAUCUAGGUUGAGAACAUCAAAUGCAUGCACAUUUAUGUUAAUUAGCCUAACGCCAGACAUGACAUUCUUCAACCAUUAACCAAGGUUUCCAAUAUCAUACCUGAGUCAACAAUGAAAAGAUGUGCAAUUUGAAAUGUAUUUAUUAAACAUGACAAGGUAGGAGUAACAUAAAGAACACAAAUGUAACAAAAUGUCACAUGAGGAGAUGCACAUAUUAGGGGUGUAUGGUACAUGUAUUCGUACCGGACCGUUUGGUAGGGGGACCUCGAAUGAAUACAUAAACAAAUAUUUUCAAAAAUGUAAACACCAGGUCUAUAGGUAAUUCCUACACUGCGAUGUAUGCCAUUCCCUCUUGGGUAUAUCUGAGCUGAAAAAAACACUGUAGGCUAAUCCAUUCAAAUAACUAGAGCCUAUGCACAUGUUGUAAUCAAAAUUCAAAUCAUAACUGGAGCAUUUCAAAGUCUCCUUUUGUGAGGCGCAGCCGGGAACUAGUUGUGUACGAUGGAGAGUGUACGAUGGAGAGUGGUGGGGUGGAUAACCUCGGAGGAUCCUCCAUCAUCUAACAGUACUUUACAACAACAAUAGAAAGAGAGCUGUAGAUAAAACCUUAACAGUAUGUCGCCACUGAUCAACGAGAAUAGCCUAUACAAGUGCCAACACCUCAAACGUUGACAUAUUUACGCAGACUUCAUCCCAGCAUUCCACCAACACCUCAAACAUGUUGACAUAUUUACGCAGACUUCAUCCCAGCAUUCCACCAACACCUCAAACAUGUUGACAUAUUUACGCAGACUUCAUCCCAGCAUUCCACCGGUGCGAGACGGAAAUACAAAGAAACAAGGACACAACUUCGUCUCCCCUUUGUAUUCAAGUAGCCCUGAUUCUGAUAGAGAUAAAAAUGACAGUACAGUAUGCAGUACAGUAUGCAUUUCAUGAGUGGCGCAUGUAGCUUGUUGACAGCCAAUCAAAAUUCAUCAAAGUAGCACUACAGUCAUAGAACCUCCGUGUGUGGCAAAGAACGUUAGGAGGUUAUAUAAUCAAUAGAAUAACGUUAGGAGGUUAUAUAAUCAAUAGAAGAACGUUAGGAGAUUAUAUAAUCAAUAGAAGAACGUUAGGAGGUUAUAUAAUCAAUAGAAGAACGUUAGGAGGUUAUAUAAUCAAUAGAAGAACGUUAGGAGGUUAUAUAAUCAAGCCAGGAAAGAUUGUGCACAUUUUAGUGAAGUUCAAUCUUGUCCAUCUCUGCGUGGGCUGCAAUUCUUCUGUGCGUUACUGCUCCAGGAACUGCAUGCACACAGAUUAGAGAGGGAUCAUUGGUGAGGAGGCUAUAAAACAUAUGCUGGGGUUAGAGUCUCUCUCUCAGGGCUGGCUCAUUUUUUUCCUGGUCAGGUUACAAGGUCAGGGAAGAGCCAAGGCCCUAAUCAUGGCUAAUAAUAUGGCUGGGUGGUAAAUUGUACAAAAAUAUUCUAGCACAAGUCAACAACUUCGGGAGGGAAAGCCAAAUAGAUCUGACUUUCCCCUAGUUGUGAAAGUAAGAACUGUGUGUAUAACAUGUGCUUCAUCCAGCCUCCAUAACCACCAUGCUGCUGAUUACCUCUGUCGAUUAUGGAUGAAGACUGUCAUGAAAAGGAAUAACCGUCAUAACCGUUGUUUUAUCAUUCUUUUUUUCCUUUUUUUGUAGAACGAACAACUGACUUGGGACGACCGAGCAUUGGUGUGGUUGAGUCCAUUUACUCGGUAACAUGGACUCUUUACAACAUGAUGAAACUUUGUUGCUUCUUGCUGAAAAAAACCAGGGUGUUGUAACAAACGAGUCCUUGGUUGCCUAGGCAAUGCCCCCUUCCAGCAGCAGCAGCACAUGCAGUCAGGGGUGGAGGAGAGGAGAAAAUGUGCGUAUUUUGGCAGACCAAUAACCGGCAUCCAAAUUUCCAUGACCGUCACGGCCCUAGUGGCAAUCUGUCACAGUGUUGACAUAGAUAAACUAGGGGCACUAUUUCCAUUCACUUCAACAACUGCAUCAGAGUCAAUACCUGCAGGAGCAGAGAUAAGAAAACAUUUUCACAACGAACCAGCCAAAAAGCUGGCCCAACCAUUCCAAUGGACCUCUUUUUGUUAAUUCACACGUUCUUUUGUUAUUUUUAUCAGCUGUAUCUGUGUGUGUUUGUGUGCACCUCCUGAGUCCUUCCUCUCCUCUGUGCAGAGAGGCUUGUUUUAGCUUGUUUGCAGGACACAGUAACCCAGCAAUACAACCAUGAACUGAACUCUUUUACACAACUGUGUUCGACACACUGCCCUAGCAGAAAACCCCAAGUGUGACAGCUGGUAGGGGAGGUGACAAACCAGGCCAAUUCCCUACUACAUUAUGAAGACACACACAUAGAGAGAUAGAGCUUCCCUCCCCAUAUAGACAGCUUCUCCAACCUAUCAAUGGUUCUAAAACAUUUUGAAUAAAAAGGCUCUCAAAAAGCGUCUGCCUGCAGCCGUUCCCAGAUCUCAUCUGUUAUGUAUCAGUUUUAUCUAGCAGAGCGCUGACGGGUCAUGUCCCUGGACAGACACAGCUCUCUCUCUCUCUCUGACUGCUGCCUGUCUGUGUGUGUGUGUGUGUGUGUGUGUGUGUGUGUGUGUGUCACAGCAACAGAGAAAACAGCCUUGAGCCCCUCUCGCUCUGCUAGUCACUGAGUCACACGCAACAGUACAAACUACUGAGAGAUAAACAUGACAACAUACACACUCUGGUCUGUCUAGCCACUCAGAGCGCACACCUGGCUUACUGAUACCGGGUUGAAACUGAGAAAAGAGAUAUUACAAAAAUGUAACGUAAAGUGUUAAUUGUUAAGUCAAUUUCACUUGGACAUUAUACUGAUUUACAGAUUAUAAAAGGGGGUGGGGGUCUGUGGGGGUCGAUAAUUCCAUAACCUUUCAUGUCCAAUCCAAGGAACCAAUCUUUAUGAACACAAUAUCCUCUAGUAUGAAAGACCAUACGCUCAACAAAGUGAAACAUGGGUCAUUUUUUGUAGCGUUGAAUGAGUGAACUGCUUGGAUCUCAAUAUUAAGGUAAAGACCGCAUUUAGUGUGGUUGGCCAUGGUGAGCAAGGCAGUGAUACAAGUCAUUGAUAUCAUGUGCACUGAUUUGUGUAUGGAUUAAUAUAGCGAUUGGUUCAUAAGCUAGUGGUCUCACUAUUACAGUGAGAGCAGUAUUGGUUUAGGUUUAUCAGUCAACAGCAACAUGACCAUCAUAUCUUCCAUUCUCACCCACAUGAUUGGGCAAUCUUGACCUUAUUCUAAACCUUUAACCAUUUAAGGCAUUUACUUGAAGGCAUUUAUUUUACAUCUUGAGAAUCAGAAGUAUUCUGAAACACUGGAAUGCUUUCUAAGAAUCCAACAGCGGUCAUCUGACCAAGCCUCCCCACGACAUUUAUGCCCAAACCACGGGAUAGUUCCAAACAAUUCCAUUUCAACUCCAGUUUAUUCACAACUUGGGUUUGGAUUUUUAGGUGGAAACAUCCAAUUCUUAGAGCUAUUUUCAAUUUCAGAAAUUCUAUGCCUCAUUCAAUGACUGUUUCAUCUGGACCAGGACUGGUAUUGACCCAACUCUGGCUGAAGAAGUAACCAUGCCACUGGUAAUAACCAUGUAAUAACCAUAUUGUUAUAGAUGCAGUACUUGGUAAUAUCUAUGUUAUAAUGUUGCACAGUAUACCGAAACUUUUCGAUACCAAAACAAUAUGUACAGUUAGGUACUAUAAUUUUUGUUACGUUUGGUACUUCUGUCAAAUGUGUCUUACGUGAUUGAGAGGAUCAAGUCUGUAUCAGCAUAGCCUCUUUAUAGCGCCAAGAGCAAAGAGCCUAGUCCACUUAGUCAUUCAUUGCUAGAGCUGUCUGAGCUGCAUUAGCUCCCCAGUCCCCACUCACGCUGCACAGAAGUUAACACACUUGAAUAAUGCAACACGGCAUGUAGAAAUGUUGAAACUUUUCAUUACUGUUCACAAAACAAUGUCAAUACAGGCUUGACACUUUUACAAUGCAAGACGAAACCGGUAGCUUCCAGCUUUAAUUGUAGGCUAACUUUCCUUGCUAGCUUACAGCUGAAUUCACAAUCCUAGUACUUUGUUUGUGAUAAUAUGCAAACCAUAACACAAAAUAUGCUAAUUUAAAAGCUCACAGGCACCAAAAAUGUUACUUAUUCACAUUGUCUCCCAUGCCACCAAAACAUCAUUCACUUCUUCGUCUUCCUUUGCCUCCCGUCUGGUUUCCACUAGAUUCCCGAGUCACAAAGUCAGAUUCCACAGCCACAUUCUGCCAUGCAAAUUAAGCAAAUAACGUCACUCAUUUCUUAAAGAGACAGUGCACACUUUUCGAAAAGAACAGAUUGCUUCUUCCAUGCAAAUGUUGUUAAUAAGUACAAUAAAAGAAUACAGUAUGUUCUCUUAGCAGUUUCCAAUAAAAUAAGUCCUAAAGUUUAUCUGUCUAGAUCAAGUGCCAUUUUGUGACUUUAGCAAUUUUUUUUUUUUUUGUGGUAUAUUUUUGGUAUCAUUUUGGUAAUAAGUAUCGUGAUGGUAUCGAGUAUUGUGAUACUAAACCUGGUAUCGGUAUCGAAUGAAAAAUGCUGAUAUUGUGACAAAACUAUUAUGUUAUUAGCCAUGUGGUCCCUACCUGCGUCGGGGGACAGGUAUGUGGGAGGAGGGGUGGGAAUUUCUCUCCUCAGGUGGCACUUGAUGUCCGGUUUCCUGGAAACCAUCGGGCACCAGCGGAUUCCUCACUUUCGAGUGCAUGUGUCUGUCCGGCUUCUGCCCGUUCAGGAUCAGGCAGUGAGUGGGACUGCCGUUAGUAAGGACCCCAGUCAGACCACUGUUCCUCUCAUCUGCCUCGCCACCACAACCCAUCUGAAGGAUGAAGAACAGUACACACACAGCAGAGAAAUAGUUGCAGUCUCAGAACUGUUAUGAUGGUGCUUUUUAGUCCACAUAGUCCACAUUGUUAUUUAUUUAU
rnacentral:lncRNA from 1 species